UACGGAGGUGGCAAGCGAUACUCGGAAUCACUAGGCGUAAAGCGCAGGUAGGAGGUUUAGUAAGUCUGUUGUGAAAGCUCCCGGCUUAACUGGGAGAGGUCAACGGAAACUGCUAGGCUAGAGUGCGGUAGAGGUAGCUGGAAUUCCCGGUGUAGCGGUGAAAUGCGUAGAUAUCGGGAGGAAUACCUAUGGCGAAAGCAGGCUACUGGACCGUCACUGACUCUGAUCUGCGAAAGCUAGGGGAGCAAACAGG
rnacentral:rRNA from 1 species